rnacentral:lncRNA from 1 species
CCCUGCUCCGCCCAGCCCUCCUGCGGGGCCAAAGCCGCGCUUCCGACGCGGGGGCCUAACCUCCCCUUACUCCUUGGGGGUCGCUGGUGCUCCGCGCUGGUGCCCCUCGGGCCACUGCCAUGGACCGGCCAGGGUCUGCUUCUUCCGAGGGCUGGCGGGUCAGAGCCGGGGCUGCUUCUCAGACGCCUUGCGGCCUCGGGGGCGUGACCCAGAGGAUGUGGGGCCGGGCGCGCACCUGGCUGACGCUGCCGGGCCGCCAGGUGGCUGGAGAGGCCGGCUCCGCG